UACGUAGGGUGCGAGCGUUGUCCGGAAUUACUGGGCGUAAAGAGCUCGUAGGUGGUUUGUCGCGUUGUCCGUGAAAACUCACAGCUCAACUGUGGGCGUGCGGGCGAUACGGGCAGACUGGAGUACUGCAGGGGAGACUGGAAUUCCUGGUGUAGCGGUGGAAUGCGCAGAUAUCAGGAGGAACACCGGUGGCGAAGGCGGGUCUCUGGGCAGUAACUGACGCUGAGGUGCGAAAGCGUGGGGAGCAAACAGG
rnacentral:rRNA from 1 species